rnacentral:rRNA from 1 species
UACGAAGGGGGCUAGCGUUGUUCGGAAUUACUGGGCGUAAAGCGCACGUAGGCGGAUUUGUAAGUCAGGGGUGAAAUCCCGGGGCUCAACCUCGGAACUGCCUUUGAUACUGCAAGUCUCGAGUCCGAUAGAGGUGAGUGGAAUUCCUAGUGUAGAGGUGAAAUUCGUAGAUAUUAGGAAGAACACCAGUGGCGAAGGCGGCUCACUGGAUCGGUACUGACGCUGAGGCGCGAAAGCUAGGGGAGCAAACGGG